GGGGUAUUAGUACAAUAGGAAGUACGCCUGCCAACAAACAGGAGACACAGGUUCGAAUCCUGUCUACCCUG
rnacentral:tRNA from 1 species